rnacentral:rRNA from 1 species
CCUGAGAAACCCAAAAGAUCGAAUGGGGAGAUUCAUCGCCAGCGAGCCCGGCACUGGYGCGGUUCGCGAUGCCGGAGGCCUCGGUCUCGCGGCACGCGUCCGCCCUGCGUUUUUUCGUCGGGUUUUGUCGGCGUGCACUUCUCCCCUAGUAGGACGUCGCGACCCGUUGGGUGUCGGUCUACGGCCCGGGUGGGCGCCUGUCGUGUGCUCAGCUUCACCGCUCCAUGCGACAGACCCCCGGUUGUCNGACCAGCUGCCCGGCGGUACUCGCACGGUAUCGAGCCGCAAAAUUUUGAACCUGCGUCCGGCCCGCCGCAAGCGAGGCCAGUGUUUCCGGAUGUACGGGCCUCGCUCCGUCACCGGGCCUGGCCAGCUGUUGGCCGGCGGUGUCCUGGGACUGGCUCUUCACAUUAUGAAUACCGGUCGGCGACGCUACUGCUUUGGGUACUUUCAGGACCCGUCUUGAAACACGGA